AGCGUAAUAGCUCACUGGUCGAGUCGGUCUGCGCGGAAGAUGUAACGGGGCUAAACUAUGCACCGAAGCUGCGGAUUCAGAAUUUAUUCUGAGUGGUAGGGGAGCGUUCUGUAAGCCGUUGAAGGUGUACCGGGAGGUAUGCUGGAGGUAUCAGAAGUGCGAAUGCUGACAUGAGUAACGAUAAUGGGAGUGAAAAACUCCCACGCCGGAAGACCAAGGGUUCCUAUCCCAUGUUAAUCAGGGUAGGGUAAGUCGACCCCUAAGGCGAGGCCGAAAGGCGUAGUCGAUGGGAAACAGAUUAAUAUUUCUGUACUCGAUAUAAUUGCGAUGGGGGGACGGAGCAGGCUAAACAAGCAUAGCGUUGGUAGUCUAUGUGAAAGUGAGUAGGUUGGCGACUUAGGUAAAUCCGGGUUGCUAUUAAGACUGAGACACGAGACGAGUCACUACGGUGAUGAAGUUGUUGAUGCCAUACUUCCAGGAAAAGCCUCUAAGCUUCAGAUUAUAUGGAAUCGUACCCCAAACCGACACAGGUGGUCAGGUAGAGAAUACUAAGGCGCUUGAGAGAACUCGGGUGAAGGAACUAGGCAAAAUCGUACCGUAACUUCGGGAGAAGGUACGCUCCUAUCUGUGAUGAGACUUGCUCUCUAAGCGGACGGGAGCCGCAGUGACCAGGUGGCUGGGACUGUUUAUUAAAAACACAGCACUGUGCAAAAUCGCAAGAUGACGUAUACGGUGUGACACCUGCCCGGUGCCGGAAGGUUAAUUGAUGGGGUUAUCCUUAGGGAGAAGCUCUUGAUCGAAGCCCCGGUAAACGGCGGCCGUAACUAUAACGGUCCUAAGGUAGCGAAAUUCCUUGUCGGGUAAGUUCCGACCUGCACGAAUGGUGUAACCAUGGCCACGCUGUCUCCACCCGAGACUCAGUGAAAUUGAAAUCGCAGUGAAGAUGCUGUGUACCCGCGGCUAGACGGAAAGACCCCGUGAACCUUUACUACAGCUUGGCACUGAACAUUGAACCUACAUGUGUAGGAUAGGUGGGAGACUUUGAAGCAGCGACGCUAGUUGUUGUGGAGUCAACCUUGAAAUACCACCCUUGUAGUUUUGAUGUUCUAACGUUGGCCCCUGAAUCGGGGUUACGGACAGUGCCUGGUGGGUAGUUUGACUGGGGCGGUCUCCUCCUAAAGAGUAACGGAGGAGCACGAAGGUUGGCUAAGUACGGUCGGACAUCGUACGGUUAGUGUAAUGGUAGAAGCCAGCUUAACUGCGAGACAGACACGUCGAGCAGGUACGAAAGUAGGUCAUAGUGAUCCGGUGGUUCUGAAUGGAAGGGCCAUCGCUCAACGGAUAAAAGGUACUCCGGGGAUAACAGGCUGAUACCGCCCAAGAGUUCAUAUCGACGGCGGUGUUUGGCACCUCGAUGUCGGCUCAUCACAUCCUGGGGCUGAAGUCGGUCCCAAGGGUAUGGCUGUUCGCCAUUUAAAGUGGUACGCGAGCUGGGUUUAGAACGUCGUGAGACAGUUCGGUCCCUAUCUGCCGUGGGCGUUUGAGAAUUGAGAGGGGUUGCUCCUAGUACGAGAGGACCGGAGUGAACGAACCGCUGGUGUUCGGGUUGUCAUGCCAAUGGCAUUGCCCGGUAGCUACGUUCGGAACUGAUAAGCGCUGAAAGCAUCUAAGCGCGAAGCAGGCCUCGAGAUGAGUUCUCACUAGACUUUUAAAGUCUCUGAAGGGCCGUUGAAGACUACAACGUUGAUAGGCAAGAUGUGGAAGUGGUGUGAGCCAUUAAGCUAACUUGUACUAAUUACCCGUGAGGCUUAACCAU
rnacentral:rRNA from 1 species